rnacentral:miRNA from 10 species
CUGCAUUGAUGCCAGCUGCAGUGGGGGAGGCGUGGCUGGGGCUGCACCCUCUACAUAGCUGGUGUGAGCCAGGAUCAGG